AGAGUUUGAUCAUGGCUCAGAUUGAACGCUGGCGGCAUGCCUAACACAUGCAAGUCGAACGGCAGCGCGGGUAGCAAUACCUGGCGGCGAGUGGCGGACGGGUGAGUAAUGCAUCGGGAUCUACCCAGACGUGGGGGAUAACGUAGGGAAACUUACGCUAAUACCGCAUACGUCCUACGGGAGAAGGCGGGGGCUCGCAAGACCUCGCGCGGUUGGACGAACCGAUGUGCGAUUAGCUAGUUGGUGGGGUAAUGGCCCACCAAGGCGACGAUCGCUAGCUGGUCUGAGAGGAUGAUCAGCCACACUGGGACUGAGACACGGCCCAGACUCCUACGGGAGGCAGCAGUGGGGAAUAUUGGACAAUGGGCGCAAGCCUGAUCCAGCAAUGCCGCGUGUGUGAAGAAGGCCUUCGGGUUGUAAAGCACUUUUAUCAGGAGCGAAAUGCCAUUGGUUAAUACCCGGUGGAGCUGACGGUACCUGAGGAAUAAGCACCGGCUAACUUCGUGCCAGCAGCCGCGGUAAUACGAAGGGUGCAAGCGUUAAUCGGAAUUACUGGGCGUAAAGGGUGCGUAGGCGGUUCGUUAAGUCUGUUGUGAAAUCCCCGGGCUCAACCUGGGAAUGGCAAUGGAUACUGGCGAGCUAGAGUGUGUCAGAGGAUGGUGGAAUUCCCGGUGUAGCGGUGAAAUGCGUAGAGAUCGGGAGGAAACAUCAGUGGCGAAGGCGGCCAUCUGGGACAACACUGACGCUGAA
rnacentral:rRNA from 1 species